AGUGAACGCUGGCGGUAGGCCUAACACAUGCAAGUCGAACGGCAGCACAGGAGAGCUUGCUCUCUGGGUGGCGAGUGGCGGACGGGUGAGGAAUACAUCGGAAUCUACUCUUUCGUGGGGGAUAACGUAGGGAAACUUACGCUAAUACCGCAUACGACCUUCGGGUGAAAGCAGGGGACCUUCGGGCCUUGCGCGAUUGAAUGAGCCGAUGUCGGAUUAGCUAGUUGGCGGGGUAAAGGCCCACCAAGGCGACGAUCCGUAGCUGGUCUGAGAGGAUGAUCAGCCACGCUGGAACUGAGACACGGUCCAGACUCCUACGGGAGGCAGCAGUGGGGAAUAUUGGACAAUGGGCGCAAGCCUGAUCCAGCCAUACCGCGUGGGUGAAGAAGGCCUUCGGGUUGUAAAGCCCUUUUGUUGGGAAAGAAAAGCAUUCGGUUAAUACCCGGGUGUUCUGACGGUACCCAAAGAAUAAGCACCGGCUAACUUCGUGCCAGCAGCCGCAGUAACAC
rnacentral:rRNA from 1 species